rfam:Toxocara canis scaffold160, whole genome shotgun sequence.
AGGGCAGUAGCUCAGUCGUAGAGCUCCUGUGUCGUAUGCGGGAAGACCUGGGUUCGAUUCCCGGCUGCUUAC